UCUACGGCUUUUGGGAGUGCACAAUAAGUAUUAGUAGACGCAGCAGAAGAACGAGGAAUACAGCCGAGCAAGAUGAAGAAAUACGCUUGCAAGUUCCAAAGCGAAUGGAAACAAGAAUUUCAAUUCAUCCAGGACAGUUGGAAGGGGAAGGGCUAUGUUGCCUGUACAUUUUGUGGAACAGACUUCUCAAUUGAACACGGUGGCCGAAAUGAUAUAAUCAUUCAUGAACGGAGAGCGAAGCACAAGGCGGCGGCAGCGCAGCACCGGUCACAGUCCAGUAUUAUGGGCCACCUCGCAAAAUGGAGACCCGAUGGUGUAACAUAUGCCGAGACAAAGAUGACUAUGCUGAUAGCUGCAAGCAACAUCCCAUUCUCAUUUGCGGAUGUUUACAACAAAUCCGUGAAGAAUAUGUACCCGGAUUCAGAGAUCGCUUGCCAGUACUCAAAUGGCAGAACAAAGGCGACUCAAAUAGUGAAAGGUAAGUGUUUUUUUUAGUAAGCAGUGUUGGAGCCAAAAUUCCUUAUUUGUUUAUAUUGUUUUUAUUUUAUUUUCUCUAAAUUGAUUGUUGGGUUCAGCAUGUUUAAUUUCCUUUUUUGGCAGACUGCUACACUCACUUCCUGUUAAGAACCAGGAAGUAUUGACGGGGGAGGGGACUGUUGCUAUGGUGCGGUUACCAUGGUAGCCUCCAUAAAUUAGGUUCAGGUGUGAGCUCGGGCAGGGCGAUUGGAGGACAAACAGUUUUCGACCGUGUUCGUGCCACGUGUUCGUGGUCGUGGUCGUGGUCGUGUUCGUGUCAUGUGGUGACAAUGAUGUGAUAAUGUGCCAAUCAAGUUCUACAGUACUGGACAUUCUAUUAUUUCCACGCGUCAAACUGGUCAACACAGUCGCCCUCGGUACCAGCCCAAAGGUGCCAUUGCCCCGGAAUUGGACAAGGAAGUGAUGGAACUUUGCCAAAACCAACCCUUUGGUCUGAUGUGUGAUGAAAGCACAAGCAGAAAGACGGAUAAAAGUUUGUGAUAUUGGCCAGGGUUUGUGAUCCGAAAACUGAGGAGGUGGUGACGAAGUUUCUGCACAUGCCAGUGUGCAACAUUGGCACAGCAGAGAACCUCUUUGAGUCACUGAACACAGUGCUAAGUGACAGAAAAAUUGACUGGAGAAACGAAACCAUGCAGCAUUAAUGUUAUGGAGCUAGGAAAAAGUCUGCCGCAGCUGCGAUUGGACCUGACCAGCCUCCGGGUACAAGUACUGGAGUACCAAUUGCUUGCCAGGGAACAUCUUCCCCAGGAAGCAAGGAUUGACCGGUUUUGGGCCAUGCUAGGGAGAGAUGGAAGAUUCCCCACACUCGUGCAUUUGAUGAAAGCACUUUUAUGCGUGCCACACAGCAAUGCAUCAUCAGAGAGGGUGUUCAGUAUGGUUCGAAAAAUAGUGACAGAGAAUAGAAAGAGGAUGGACAAUUCAACCCUUAACUCACUCCUUUCCUGCAAAAUAAAUUUCACAGAUGCUGCCCACAGCUAUAUUCCUUCAAAGGCUGUGCUUCUGGCUGCAAAGCAUUGUACUUUCAAGUACAACAAUGAG